rnacentral:rRNA from 1 species
AGUGAACGCUGGCGGUAGGCCUAACACAUGCAAGUCGAACGGCAGCACAGUAAGAGCUUGCUCUUACGGGUGGCGAGUGGCGGACGGGUGAGGAAUACAUCGGAAUCUACUUUUUCGUGGGGGAUAACGUAGGGAAACUUACGCUAAUACCGCAUACGACCUACGGUUGAAAGCAGGGGAUCUUCGGACCUUGCGCGAUUGAAUGAGCCGAUGUCGGAUUAGCUAGUUGGCGGGGUAAAGGCCCACCAAGGCAACGAUCCGUAGCUGGUCUGAGAGGAUGAUAAGCCACACUGGAACUGAGACACGGUCCAGACUCCUAAGGGAGGCAGCAGUGGGGAAUAUUGGACAAUGGGCGCAAGCCUGAUCCAGCCAUACCGCGUGGGUGAAGAAGGCCUUCGGGUUGUAAAGCCCUUUUGUUGGGAAAGAAAAGCAGCAGGUUAAUACCCCGCUGUUCUGACGGUACCCAAAGAAUAAGCACCGGCUAACUUCGUG